UACGGAAGGCAGCAGUGGGGAAUAUUGCACAAUGGGCGAAAGCCUGAUGCAGCUAUGCCGCGUGUAUGAAGAAGGCCUUAGGGUUGUAAAGUACUUUUCAUCGGGGAGGAAAAAACAAAACUAAUAAUUUUAUUUCUUGACGUUACCCGAAAAAGAAGCACCGGCUAACUCCGUGCCAGCAGCCGCGGUAAUACGGAGGGUGCUAGCGUUAAUCAGAAUUACUGGGCGUAAAGAGCACGUAGGUGGUUUUUUUAAGUUCAGAUGUGAAAUCCCUGGGCUUAACCUGGAACUACAUUUUGAAACUGAAAUACUAGAGUAUCGUAGAGGGAGGUAGAAUUCUAGGUGUAGCGGUGAAAUGCGUAGAUAUCUGGAGGAAUACCUGUGGCGAAAGCGGCCUCCUAAACGAAUACUGACACUGAGGGUGCGAAAGCGUGGGGAGCAAACAGGGAUUAGAUACC
rnacentral:rRNA from 1 species